UACGGGGGGGGCAAGCGUUGUUCGGAAUCACUGGGCUUAAAGGGCGCGUAGGCGGGUUCGCAAGUCUGUGGUGAAAGCCUCCAGCUUAACUGGAGAAGUGCCAUGGAUACUGCGAACCUGGAGGAGGGUAGGGGCAUCUGGAACGCUGGGUGGAGCGGUGAAAUGCGUUGAUAUCCAGCGGAACUCCGGUGGCGAAGGCGAGGUGCUGGACCCUUUCUGACGCUGAGGCGCGAAAGCCAGGGGAGCAAACGGG
rnacentral:rRNA from 1 species